UUGCUCUGGGGGAUUAGUGGCGAACGGGUGAGUAACACGUGAGUAACCUGCCCUGGACUCUGGGAUAAGCGUUGGAAACGACGUCUAAUACCGGAUAGGACCUCUGACCGCAUGGUCGGGGGUGGAAAGUUUUUUCGGUCUGGGAUGGACUCGCGGCCUAUCAGCUUGUUGGUGAGGUAAUGGCUCACCAAGGCGUCGACGGGUAGCCGGCCUGAGAGGGUGACCGGCCACACUGGGACUGAGACACGGCCCAGACUCCUACGGGAGGCAGCAGUGGGGAAUAUUGCACAAUGGGCGCAAGCCUGAUGCAGCAACGCCGCGUGCGGGAUGACGGCCUUCGGGUUGUAAACCGCUUUUAGUAGGGAAGAAGGGCUUCGGCUUGACGGUACCUGCAGAAAAAGGACCGGCUAACUACGUGCCAGCAGCCGCGGUAAUACGUAGGGUCCGAGCGUUGUCCGGAAUUAUUGGGCGUAAAGAGCUCGUAGGCGGUUUGUCGCGUCUGCUGUGAAAACUGGAGGCUCAACCUCCAGCCUGCAGUGGGUACGGGCAGACUAGAGUGCGGUAGGGGAGAAUGGAAUUCCUGGUGUAGCGGUGGAAUGCGCAGAUAUCAGGAGGAACACCGAUGGCGAAGGCAGUUCUCUGGGCCGUAACUGACGCUGAGGAGCGAAAGCGUGGGGAGCGAACAGGAUUAGAUACCCUGGUAGUCCACGCCGUAAACGUUGGGCGCUAGAUGUGGGG
rnacentral:rRNA from 1 species